rnacentral:rRNA from 1 species
AGGAUGAACGCUGGCGGUCUGCUUAACACAUGCAAGUCGAACGGAGUAGCAAUACUUAGUGGCGGACGGGUGAGUAACGCGUGAGAAUCUACCUUCAGGACGGAGACAACAGUUGGAAACGACUGCUAACCCCCGAUGUACCGAAAGGGCAAAUAUUUAUAGCCUGAAGAAGAGCUCGCGUCCGAUUAGCUAGUUGGAGAGGUAAAAGCUCACCAAGGCGACGAUCGGUAGCUGGUCUGAGAGGACGAUCAGCCACACUGGGACUGAGACACGGCCCAGACUCCUACGGGAGGCAGCAGUGGGGAAUUUUCCGCAAUGGGCGAAAGCCUGACGGAGCAAGACCGCGUGGGGGAAGAAGGCUCUUGGGUUGUAAACCUCUUUUCUUGGGGAAGAACAAAUGACGGUACCCAAGGAAUCAGCAUCGGCUAACUCCGUGCCAGCAGCCGC